rnacentral:rRNA from 1 species
UACAGAGGGGGCAAGCGUUGUUCGGAAUUACUGGGCGUAAAGGGCGCGUAGGCGGCCUUCUAAGUCGAACGUGAAAUCCCCGGGCUCAACCCGGGAACUGCGUCCGAUACUGGAAGGCUUGAAUCCGGGAGAGGGAUGCGGAAUUCCAGGUGUAGCGGUGAAAUGCGUAGAUAUCUGGAGGAACACCGGUGGCGAAGGCGACAUCCUGGACCGGUAUUGACGCUGAGGCGCGAAAGCGUGGGGAGCGAACAGG